rnacentral:rRNA from 1 species
CACGAAUGGCGUAAUGAUGGCCAGGCUGUCUCCACCCGAGACUCAGUGAAAUUGAACUCGCUGUGAAGAUGCAGUGUACCCGCGGCAAGACGGAAAGACCCCGUGAACCUUUACUAUAGCUUGACACUGAACAUUGAGCCUUGAUGUGUAGGAUAGGUGGGAGGCUUUGAAGUGUGGACGCCAGUCUGCAUGGAGCCGACCUUGAAAUACCACCCUUUAAUGUUUGAUGUUCUAACGUGGACCCGUAAUCCGGGUUGCGGACAGUGUCUGGUGGGUAGUUUGACUGGGGCGGUCUCCUCCUAAAGAGUAACGGAGGAGCACGAAGGUUGGCUAAUCCUGGUCGGACAUCAGGAGGUUAGUGCAAUGGCAUAAGCCAGCUUGACUGCGAGCGUGACGGCGCGAGCAGGUGCGAAAGCAGGUCAUAGUGAUCCGGUGGUUCUGAAUGGAAGGGCCAUCGCUCAACGGAUAAAAGGUACUCCGGGGAUAACAGGCUGAUACCGCCCAAGAGUUCAUAUCGACGGCGGUGUUUGGCACCUCGAUGUCGGCUCAUCACAUCCUGGGGCUGAAGUAGGUCCCAAGGGUAUGGCUGUUCGCCAUUUAAAGUGGUACGCGAGCUGGGUUUAGAACGUCGUGAGACAGUUCGGUCCCUAUCUGCCGUGGGCGCUGGAGAACUGAGGGGGGCUGCUCCUAGUACGAGAGGACCGGAGUGGACGCAUCACUGGUGUUCGGGUUGUCAUGCCAAUGGCACUGCCCGGUAGCUAAAUGCGGAAGAGAUAAGUGCUGAAAGCAUCUAAGCACGAAACUUGCCCCGA